AUUGAACGCUGGCGGCAGGCCUAACACAUGCAAGUCGAACGGUAGCACAGAGAGCUUGCUCUCGGGUGACGAGUGGCGGACGGGUGAGUAACGUCUGGGAAACUGCCCGAUGGAGGGGGAUAACUACUGGAAACGGUAGCUAAUACCGCAUAACGUCGCAAGACCAAAGUGGGGGACCUUCGGGCCUCACACCAUCGGAUGUGCCCAGAUGGGAUUAGCUAGUAGGUGGGGUAAUGGCUCACCUAGGCGACGAUCCCUAGCUGGUCUGAGAGGAUGACCAGCCACACUGGAACAGAGACACGGUCCAGACUCCUACGGGAGGCAGCAGUGGGGAAUAUUGCACAAUGGGCGCAAGCCUGAUGCCGCCAUGCCGCGUGUAUGAAGAAGGCCUUCGGGUUGUAAAGUACUUUCAGCGGGGAGGAAGGCGGUGAAGUUAAUAGCUUAACCGAUUGACGUUACCCGCAGAAGAAGCACCGGCUAACUCCGUGCCAGCCGCCGCCGUAA
rnacentral:rRNA from 1 species